GACGAACGCUGGCGGCGUGCUUAACACAUGCAAGUCGAGCGGUAAGGCCCUUUCGGGGGGUACACGAGCGGCGAACGGGUGAGUAACACGUGGGUGACCUGCCCUCAGCUCUGGGAUAAGCCCGGGAAACCGGGUCUAAUACCGGAUAUGACUCCAUGACGCAUGUUGUGGGGUGGAAAGCCUUGUGCGGCUGAGGAUGGGCCCGCGGCCUAUCAGCUUGUUGGUGGGGUGANGGCCUACCAAGGCGACGACGGGUAGCCGGCCUGAGAGGGCGACCGGCCACACUGGGACUGAGACACGGCCCAGACUCCUACGGGAGGCAGCAGUGGGGAAUCUUGCGCAAUGGGCGAAAGCCUGACGCAGCGACGCCGCGUGAGGGAUGAC
rnacentral:rRNA from 1 species